UACGUAGGGGGCUAGCGUUGUCCGGAAUCAUUGGGCGUAAAGCGCGUGUAGGCGGUCCGGUAAGUCCACUGUGAAAGUCGGGGGCUCAACCCUCGGAUGCCGGUGGAUACUGUCGGGCUUGAGUACGGAAGAGGCGAGUGGAAUUCCUGGUGUAGCGGUGAAAUGCGCAGAUAUCAGGAGGAACACCAAUUGCGAAGGCAGCUCGCUGGGACGUUACUGACGCUGAGACGCGAAAGCGUGGGGAGCAAACAGGAUUAGAAACC
rnacentral:rRNA from 1 species